rnacentral:rRNA from 1 species
CAGCCGCCGCGGGAAUACGGAGGGUGCAAGCGUUAUCCGGAUUUAUUGGGUUUAAAGGGUCCGUAGGCGGAUCUGUAAGUCAGUGGUGAAAUCUCACAGCUUAAUUGUGAAACUGCCAUUGAUACUGCAGGUCUUGAGUAAAUUUGAAGUGGCUGGAAUAAGUAGUGUAGCGGUGAAAUGCAUAGAUAUUACUUAGAACACCAAUUGCGAAGGCAGGUCACUAAGAUUUAACUGACGCUGAUGGACGAAAGCGUGGGGAGCGAACAGGAUUAGAUACCCCCGUAGUCCCUGUCUCUUAUAC